rnacentral:rRNA from 1 species
GACGAACGCUGGCGGCGUGCUUAACACAUACAAGUCGAACGGUGAUGCUCCAGCUUGCUGGAGUGGAUCAGUGGCGAACGGGUGAGUAACACGUGAGCAACCUGCCCCAGACUCUGGAAUAAGCGCUGGAAACGGCGUCUAAUACUGGAUACGAAACUGGCCCGCAUGGGCAUGGUUUGGAAAGUUGUUCGGUUUGGGAUGGGCUCGCGGCCUAUCAGCUUGUUGGUGAGGUAAUGGCUCACCAAGGCGACGACGGGUAGCCGGCCUGAGAGGGCGACCGGCCACACUGGGACUGAGACACGGCCCAGACUCCUACGGGAGGCAGCAGUGGGGAAUAUUGCACAAUGGGCGAAAGCCUGAUGCAGCGACGCCGCGUGAGGGAUGACGGCCUUCGGGUUGUAAACCUCUUUCAGCAGGGAAGAAGCGAAAGUGACGGUACCUGCAGAAGAAGCACCGGCUAACUACGUG